rnacentral:tRNA from 1 species
GCGCCGGUAGCUCAGCCAGGUAGAGCGGCGGUCUCUUAAACCGAUGGUCGCGGGUUCGAAUCCCGCCCGGCCG